rnacentral:rRNA from 1 species
GGGUGAGUAACACGUGGAUAACCUACCUAUGAGACUGGGAUAACUUCGGGAAACCGGAGCUAAUACCGGAUAAUAUAUUGAACCGCAUGGUUCAAUAGUGAAAGACGGUUUUGCUGUCACUUAUAGAUGGAUCCGCGCCGCAUUAGCUAGUUGGUAAGGUAACGGCUUACCAAGGCAACGAUGCGUAGCCGACCUGAGAGGGUGAUCGGCCACACUGGAACUGAGACACGGUCCAG